UACGGAGGGUGCAAACGUUGCUCGGAAUCAUUGGGCGUAAAGAGCUCGUAGGCGGUCUGUUGCGUCCGCUGUGAAAACCCGGGGCUUAACCCUGGGCUGGCAGUGGAUACGGACAGACUAGAGGUAGGUAGGGGAGAAUGGAAUUCCCGGUGUAGCGGUGAAAUGCGCAGAUAUCGGGAGGAACACCGGUGGCGAAGGCGGUUCUCUGGGCCUUACCUGACGCUGAGGAGCGAAAGCGUGGGGAGCGAACAGG
rnacentral:rRNA from 1 species